GGAAAGACAGAAGCUCCAAGUUUGCCCAGCUGGGCAGAGGGAUCCUCCUCCUGACAUCACUGCAGUGUAUUGAAAUAAGAAAGUAGCACAGCACAAGAGGAGAAAACAGAACUGAACAGCUGCUGUUGAAGACCUCCAUGCUGUACAUUUCUAGGAGAGAGGGGCACUGCUCUGUCCUAGCCCACAUCUGGUGCUGAGAAAGGAAUGCUUGUGAAAAGCAGGAAUGUGCUGGGUGCUCUCCUUUCAGUCCAGCUUCACCUGAGAAGAGCCAAGCUGUGGAUCAGGGCACAGCUCUGAGACUUAAGUAAGCAUGAGGUUCUGGAAAAAAAACAGAUGUCCCCUCUUGGACCUCACUGGUAUUAGCAGCUUGGAAGGAGAUGUAAGCUCACUUGUUUUUUCAAUGCCUGAUCAUUUUUCUCCCAGGCUAUGAAGGACACAGCUAUUUCACUGAAGCAAGUGAAAAUGCAGAAAAUAUUAGCCUGCUGAAGAAGAGACUGCUACACUCAACAUCUCUAUCACUUCAAAGCUACUUCCAGAUGAUCAUCUGAUUGCUUUCUCUGUUGUGUUCUUUUAAAAUUCAAGGCAGCCAAUAUUUAAUAGCCUUAACACUGUAUUUUAAUUACUACAAUCCAUCAACAGUGCUUAAUUUAUGCAUUAGUGGAAUUCAGUGUUAAAAAUAAAUGCAAGAUUCUGAUUAAGUUGCAAUUGAAAUAAUACAUAAAUAAUACAUAUGGAGAUUGAAAGCCUGAAGUGCUCCACAUAUUAAAGCAAUUUACUGUGUCA